UUAUCUAAUAUCAAUUGUGAUCACAAAUCAAAUUAUAAACCACAAACUGGUGUUAAACUUGAAAGCACUCCCUGGUCUCACCUAAAUAACCUAAAACACCUGUCAAACAAUUGCUUAUUUAUAUCACAAGCUCUGCUGACGCCUCUUUGCAUUCUCUCUGGACAGUUUGUUCCGUCCAUAAUGUCCGACAAGCCGAGUGUCACAGACAGAAGUCUAGCGCAGAGCCCUCGCUGCGGUUCUGCCAUUCGAUUCGUUUUCUGAAGAGGAAGCGAAGUAGCAUGUUCAGUGAAGAGAGAAUCAAGGUCUUCACUCUGCCUCUUGAAAGAAAGGAGCUAACCUGUCGCCUAGCAACACCUCCCACUCCUGCUGAAGCCAGAGGAAUAGAAGAGAGGAAGAGGAAAGACUGAAGCUGUCUAUGAAACUGAUGAGAGUGACAGAGGUAAAGAGUAGGGUAUGGGGUUGCCUUUGAAGUCAAGAGAGGCCAGCUCAUCGUGCCAAUGUGUGGGCUUAUCUGUGAUAUCCAUAGCCCACAGAGAGGCCAAUGGAGUUGCACCUGUCGUGGCAUUUAAAUCAUCUAGAUUUAAGUAUAAUAAAUUAUCUAAUGCAUUGUU